AGGGUUCGAUUCUGGCUCAGGAUGAACGCUAGCGACAGGCUUAACACAUGCAAGUCGAGGGCAUCACGGGAGUAGCAAUACAACUGGUGGCGACCGGCGCACGGGUGAGUAACGCGUAUGCAACCUACCUAUCAGAGGGGAAUAACCCGGCGAAAGUCGGACUAAUACCGCAUAAAACAGGGGCACCGCAUGGUGAUAUUUGUUAAAGAAAUUCGCUGAUAGAUGGGCAUGCGUUCCAUUAGGUAGUUGGUGAGGUAACGGCUCACCAAGCCGACGAUGGAUAGGGGAACUGAGAGGUUGGUCCCCCACACUGGUACUGAGACACGGACCAGACUCCUACGGGAGGCAGCAGUGAGGAAUAUUGGUCAAUGGGCGGGAGCCUGAACCAGCCAAGUCGCGUGAAAGGAAGAAGGAUCUAUGGUUCGUAAACUUCUUUUGCAGGGGAAUAAAGUGCAGGACGUGUCCUGUUUUGUAUGUACCCUGAGAAUAAGGAUCGGCUAACUCCGUGCCAGCCGCUGC
rnacentral:rRNA from 1 species